rnacentral:tmRNA from 1 species
GGGGGCGUCACGGCUUCGACGGGGGUAUGGAUUCGCGGGAUGCAUGCCGAGCUCCACUUCGCUCGUAAAACUAGUGGAACACAAUGUAAGUGCGGAUACGCAACUUGCACUCGCUGCCUAACUCGUAGCGACGCUCACCCUGGAAUCGCCCGCGGUCCGGGGAUGAGCGCCAUUUAGCGGGCUGGCGAUCGCGCGGCGCCACGGCGCGCGGUCGUGAGACACACCGCGGCUGGUCGUUGGUGGUUUCUCGCCUCUCUUUUCGCACCAGCGACGAGACAAUCAAGAGGGGAUAAGCAUUGUAGAUUCCUGCGGGGAUGUGCCUUCGGACGCGGGUUCGACUCCCGCCGCCUCCAUUC